rnacentral:misc_RNA from 1 species
GGAAGUAAAAGUCGUAACAAAGUUUCCGUAGGUGAACCCGCGGAAGGAUCAUUAUUGUAUAACCGAGGUGCGAGGGCUGUCGCUGACCCGAAAGGUCGUGCACGCCCGAGUGCCCUCACACACAUCCAUCUCACCCCUAUGUGCACCACCGCGUGGGUCCUCCUUUGGCUUGUUCGGAGGGGGGCUUACGUUUUCACACAAACUUUGUAUGCAGUGUAGAAUGUAUUUUUUGUUUUUGCGAUCACGCAAUCAAUACAACUUUCAACAACGGAUCUCUUGGCUCCC